GCUGAACCCCCUUGUUCCCUUGCAGGACAGCCAAAAGCCUCUCCUACCGUCCACCUCUUCCCUCCAUCCUCCGAAGAGCUCAGCACCAACAGCAAGGCCACGCUGGUGUGUCUGAUGGACAGCUUUUACCCCGGCUCAGUCCAGGUCACCUGGAAAGCUGAUGGCACCACCAUCUCCAGGGGAGUGGAGACCACCAAGCCGUCCAAACAGAGCAACAACCAGUACAUGGCCAGCAGCUACCUGACGCUGAGCGCCUCCGACUGGAAGAGCCACGAGACCUACGCCUGUCAGGUGACGCACGACGGGAAGAGCGUCGACAAGACCCUGAAGAGAUCGGAGUGCUCUUAACCCGCAGCCCCAGAGGGCUCGGCCGGUUCCUGUCUCAGUCUGUGGAGAGCUGGGAUCCCCCGGGAUCGUCCUAAUGCUGAUUUCCAGCAACUCCCCUUCCUGUUUUAUUUGGGGCCGCUUUGUAGAUGUCUCUGAUCCCUGCUUUGUAUCCACUGCUCUCCCCACUCCACAUUCCCUACAAAUACUUUUCUUGCUUUAGUCUCUGAUGCAGACUUGGUACAAUAUUAAUAAAACCAGA